rnacentral:misc_RNA from 1 species
AACGCACCUUGCGCCCAUUGGUAUUCCGAUGGGCAUGCCUGUUUGAGUGUCUUGAAAUCAUCAAGCCCGUUCGGUUUCACCGCCGGUCGUGGCUUGGACUUGGGGGCCUUUGCCGCUUUGCCGCGGCUCCCCUUAAAUGAAUCGGUUUCGGGUCUCUGUGGGAGUCACCCCUUGGGCGUUGUAUAACCCUCGCCGUCUGGGAACUCCUCGCGACGUCCGCGUCGUCGAAGGGCCUUGAAGGAACCCCGACCUGCCGUAGAGUGGCGGUCAAUGUUAAUUCGAGAUCUGACCUCAAAUCAGGUAGGACUACCCGCUGAACUUAA